rnacentral:rRNA from 1 species
GACGAACGCUGGCGGCGUGCUUAACACAUGCAAGUCGAACGGAAAGGCCCUGCUUUUGUGGGGUGCUCGAGUGGCGAACGGGUGAGUAACACGUGAGUAACCUGCCCUUGACUUUGGGAUAACUUCAGGAAACUGGGGCUAAUACCGGAUAGGAGCUCCUGCUGCAUGGGGGGGGUUGGAAAGUUUCGGCGGUUGGGGAUGGACUCGCGGCUUAUCAGCUUGUUGGUGGGGUAGUGGCUUACCAAGGCUUUGACGGGUAGCCGGCCCGAGAGGGUGACCGGCCACAUUGGGACUGAGAUACGGCCCAGACUCCUACGGGAGGCAGCAGUGGGGAAUAUUGCACAAUGGGCGGAAGCCUGAUGCAGCAACGCCGCGUGCGGGAUGACGGCCUUCGGGUUGUAACCCGCUUUCGCCUGUGACGAAGCGUGAGUGACGGUAAUGGGUAAAGAAGCACCGGCUAACUACGUG